UACAGAGGGUGCAAGCGUUGCUCGGAAUCAUUGGGCGUAAAGGGCAAGUAGGUGGUCUCAUUUGUCUGAUGUGAAAGCCUUGAGCUUAACUCAAGAAGUGCGUCAGAAACGGUGAGACUCGAGUUCUGGAGAGGGUCGUGGAAUUCCCGGUGUAGAGGUGAAAUUCGUAGAUAUCGGGAGGAACACCAGUGGCGAAGGCGGCGAUCUGGGAAGAUACUGACGCUGAGGUGCGAAAGCGUGGGGAGCAAACAGG
rnacentral:rRNA from 1 species